UAUUAGGUUGGUGCAAAAGUAAUUGCAGUUUUUGCCAUUACUUUCAAGGGCAAAAAUUGCAAUUAUUUUUGCACUAACCUAUUAU
ensembl:miRNA